rnacentral:rRNA from 1 species
CCUACGGGAGGCAGCAGUGGGGAAUAUUGCACAAUGGGGGGAACCCUGAUGCAGCGACGCCGCGUGGGUGAAGGAGUAUUUCGGUAUGUAAAGCCCUAUCAGCAGGGAAGAACAGUGACGGUACCUGACUAAGAAGCACCGGCUAAAUACGUGCCAGCAGCCGCGGUAAUACGUAUGGUGCAAGCGUUAUCCGGAUUUACUGGGUGUAAAGGGAGCGCAGGCGGCGCGUUAAGGCUGGUGUGAAAGUCCGCGGCCCAACCGCGGGACUGCAUUGGGAACUGGCGCGCUGGAGUGCCGGAGGGGUAGGCGGAAUUCCUAGUGUAGCGGUGAAAUGCGUAGAUAUCAGGAGGAACACCAGUGGCGAAGGCGGCCUACUGGACGGUGACUGACGCUGAGGCUCGAAAGCGUGGGGAGCAAACAGGAUUAGAUACCCGUGUAGUC